GUGGUACCAAGAAAGAGAAAGAUGGAGAGGAUAAAAAGAGGAACCCCAUCCUGAAGUACAUCGGCAAACCUCGGACCACAUCCCAGUCCACAUUCCAUGUCCCCUUGUCACCCACCGAAGUCCGUCCUGGCAGUGUGAGGAACAUCAUUCAGCAGUUUGAGAAUCACACGGAGACGGGAGAGGAGGGAGGGGACGCCGCUGACCCCCAGAGGCUCUCCACCAGCAGCCUGGGAGAAGACAGCAU